GAGUACGUGAAACUGCUUAGAGGUUAAGCCCGAUGAACCUGAAUAUCCAUUAUGGAAAAUUCAUCAUUAAUAUUAUGGUAUUUUAAAAAUAUUAUAAAAAUAGUGUGCAAUUUUUCCAUAUAAGGACAUUGUAAUCUGUUAAUGUAAUAAAUAUUUAUCAAAAGAUCUUUUACUUAAGUUUAUUCCAAUUAGUUAUUUUCGGAUUUCUAACAUAAAAUAAAUGUAUUAGAUUUGAUAAAUCAUUGACAGAUAUAAUUAUAUGAUGCGCUUAAAUUUUUUUCGAAAAAUUUUACAUUGAAAUUAAAACUUUCGGGUUUUUUUCUUUAUAAAUGUAUGCGUUAUUAUGAUUAACAAUGCGAUAGAUUCAGGAUACCUUCGGGACCCGUCUUGAAACACGGACCAAGGAGUCUAACAUAUGUGCAAGUCAUUGGGUAUUUUUGAAUGAAACCCAAUGGCAUAAUUAACUUAACUGUUUUUUAAAUGGGAUUAGUUUAUUAUUUAUUAUGAAUUAUAAAUUCAAUCCCGGGGCGUUCUAUACAGUUAUGUAUAAUGAUAUUUAUAUUAUUUAUACCUCUAACUAGAGCGUACCUUGAGCAUAUAUGCUGUGACCC
rnacentral:rRNA from 1 species